rnacentral:sRNA from 1 species
UUUUCUUGAGUCUGGGUGCUGUUUUGCAGCUUCCAUUCUUUAUAUUUUGUCUUACUGUUAGUGUGUAUCAGAGUAGGACCAUGUAUGUUUUGUUUUCCUGCAUAAAUUAGAUAAAGUAUUGUGUAGUGUCAGGCAGGCAGUCCUAAGAAGGAAUGCCAUUAUCUCCAACAUUUGUUUUGCCUCUCACUGUAGCUACCACAAAUAAAAGAGAUUGUAUUAUUCCUAGGACUUUCCACCUUAGAAUAAUAAGCUAUAAUAGUAAGAAUUUUGAAAUAGUUUUAUCAGAAAAUUGCUAGUUGAAUAGCACCAUUCUUACGGUGUCUCUGGUUGGGAAAUUAUAUAAUUGGGGAAAAUAAACAUUAUUGAACUCUAUUAUAAAAGACCCACUGACAGAGACAUGUUUUAACUUUGUGUAAUUAUAUGCACUAGUAUUUAGCGUGGACUACAAUGAUGAACUGGAUAUCUUGGUGAGCGGCUCUGCAGACUUCACUGUGAAAGUAUGGGCUUUAUCUGCUGGGACAUGCCUGAACACACUCACCGGGCACACGGAAUGGGUCACCAAGGUAGUUUUGCAGAAGUGCAAGGUCAAGUCUCUCUUGCACAGUCCUGGAGACUACAUCCUCUUAAGUGCAGACAAAUAUGAGAUUAAGAUUUGGCCAAUUGGGAGAGAAAUCAACUGUAAGUGCUUAAAGACAUUGUCUGUCUCUGAGGAUAGAAGUAUCUGCCUGCAGCCAAGACUUCAUUUUGAUGGCAAAUACAUUGUCUGUAGUUCAGCACUUGGUCUCUACCAGUGGGACUUUGCCAGUUAUGAUAUUCUCAGGAACACAGAAGACACUGCUAGAACUUGAAGGCAAAAAUCAUUAAACAACUGAAAACACAAAAUGAGCAGGUUGGUGGUGGUGCCAGCCUGGUUUUUAAUCUCUUCAAAUCCACACAAAGAACAGCAACUAGGCCAGGCGCGGUGGCUCACGCCUGUAAUCCCAGCACUUUGGGAGGCCGAGGCGGGCGGAUCACGAGGUCAGAAGAUCAAGACCAUCCUGGCUGACACGGUGAAACUCCGUCUCUACUAAAAAUACAAAAAGUUAGCCGGGCAUGGUGGUAUGCGCCUGUAGUCCCAGCUACUCGAGAGGUUGAGGCAGAAGAAUCGCUUGAACCCAGGAGGCGGAGUUUGGGAGGUUGCUGUGAGCCGAGAUCAUGCCACUGCACUCCAGCCUGGGCAUCUCUGUCUCAAACAAACGAACAAACAAACAAAAAACCCAGCAACUGAAUAGCAAAACCAAGGGCCCAGACAGUACUUUCAACAAAGCUAGGUACAAGGUAACCUCAUGAGCCCCAGAAUACAGUAGUUGAGGCGAAAUACCUAUUGCCACAAGAACAUUUUUGUAGGAGGAAAAUGAAGGAAGGAAAAGAGAUAGUAUAUGAGAGGCCUCAGAACAGGAGAAUCCAAAAUAGGCAACAGGUGAUCAAUGGAGAGUUGGGCUGCCAAUCCUAAAAUGUCAGCUGAAGCUGGGAGAGGCUCUGUCCUCUCCAACAGUGGAUGAGAACAAGGACCUAAGGCAAGAACGCGUGAAAAGGCUGGAGCACUGUAGCCCUUAUAAACAGUUGAGGCUGAUCGGCUCUCUUUUAGGACAAGGCCCCACACCAGGGAAAACUCCUGGGGCUAAAACUCCUGGGAGCAGGACAGGGACAAGAGAGGAAGGUAAGAGAUGGCCCAGACUCAAGAAAGGAUAAAGACAGAGGCAGGAAAUGCCAGAAAGCAAGUUGCAAUAUGUUUGAAUCCAUACAUAAGAGAAGAGGGACUGCUCUGAGAAGGUUGAAAAGCUUGCCUGAACAUACACUCAUUCCAAAAAGUCAGGAAAACAAAUUUUACAUAAAAAUAAUAUAAAAGUAUCAAGAUCAAAUUCUAUACACAGUUAUUAAGAAAAAAAUGCGAAGAAGGAGCAGAUUAACAUCCUUACAGACAAUGAAAACACACCAGGGAGACACCAUAAAACAGACCAAGACUAACUUAAAAACAAAUACAUCAGCCUGGGCAUGGUGGUUCACACCUGUAAUCCCAGCACUUUGGGAGGCCAAGGCAGGCUGAUCACUUGAGCCCAAGAGUUCAAGACCAGCCUGGGCAAUAUGACGCAACCCCAUCUCUACAAAAAAAAAAAAAAAAA